rnacentral:tRNA from 1 species
GGAGAGGUGCUCGAGUGGUUGAAGAGGCACGCCUGGAAAGCGUGUAUACCCCAAAAGGGUAUCGUGAGUUCGAAUCUCAUCCUCUCCG